GUUUUGCCCAAAGAAAUGAAUGGACAACCCCCACAAAGAUAUGAAUACAGAGGCACUGAAGAGGAACACUACUACACGCUUAAUACCUGCUUCGCUGGCCUCUCCGCGCUGUGGUAAACCAGCCAACCUUUGCAUGCAACCGGAACCUUCACCUGUGGUUCGGGAGCGAGGAAUGCUGCACGCUCUGCAACACCCCCCAAUGCAAACCUCCAGCACAUCUUGUCAGGUUGUAAGAUCGCGCUCUCCCAAGGACAUUGUAGAUGGUGUCACGACCAGGUGCUAAGCAAGUUAGCAGAGGUGCUGGAGAGCCGGCGACAGGGUAGCAAAG